UCGGGGCGCGCUGGGGCCCGGAGCGCGAAGUGCAGGCAGCUCUAGUCGUCUGGGUCUCGGCGGCUGCACCGAGUGCAGGCCGGCCGGCCUCGCCGCUGAAACAGCGGGCCAUGGAGCGGGUGCUGAUCGUGGGCGCCGGGCUGACGGGAAGCUUGUGCGCAGCGCUGCUGAGGAAGGAGGCGUCCCGUCCUUUGCACCUCGCCGUGUGGGACAAGGCUGGGGACUCAGGGGGAAGAAUGACUACAGCCGGCAGUCCUUACAAUCCACAGAGCACGGUCGACUUGGGCGCCCAGUACAUCACCUGCACUUCUCAUUAUGCCAAAAAACAUCAAAGCUUUUAUGAUGAACUGUUAGCUCGGGGCAUUUUGAAGCCUCUGAUCUCUUGUAUUGAAGGAAUGGUGAUAAAAGACGGAGACUGUAACUUUGUGGCACCUCAAGGAGUUUCUUCAAUUGUUAACCAUUACUUGAAAGAAUCAGGUGCUGAAAUCUGCUUCAGACAACAUGUGACCCAGAUCAACCUGAGAAAUGACAAGUGGGAAGUCUCCAAGGAAACAGGCUCCCCUGAGCAGUUUGAGAUUGUUGUCCUCACGAUGCCAGUUCCUCAGAUCCUGCAACUUCAAGGUGACAUCGCAAACUUAAUUAGUGAGAGCCAAAGGCAGCAACUGGAAUCUGUGAGCUACUCCUCUCGCUAUGCUCUGGGCCUCUUUUAUGAAGCUGGCACGAAGAUUGAUGUCCCUUGGGCUGGGCAGUACAUCACCAGUAAUCCCUGCAUUCGCUUCAUCUCCAUUGAUAAUAAGAAACGCAAUAUAGAGUCAUCAGAAAUCGGGCCUUCCCUUGUGAUUCACACCACUGUCCCAUUUGGAGUUGCACACUUGGAACAGAGCAUUGAGGAUGUGCAGAAGUUAAUCUUCCAGCAGCUGGAGAACAUUUUGCCUGGUUUGCCUCAGCCAGUUGCUACUAAAUGCCAGAAAUGGAGACAUUCACAGGUUACAAAAGCUGCUGCCAACUACCCAGGACAAAUGACUCUUCAUCAUAAACCUUUCCUUGUGUGUGGAGGGGAUGGGUUUACUCAGUCCAACUUUGAUGGCUGCAUCACUUCUGCCCUACGUGUUCUGGAAGCUUUGAAGAGCCAUAUUUAGUACCUGUGUUCUUAUUCUCUACAGAAAUUGAAAUGGAUGUGGGAGUAUCUCGUGCUGGAAGCCAUCCCAGAGGGUCAUGAAACUCAGAUGGCCAGGAUGCCCUAAAAGACCCAGGCCGAAGGCAUCCGACUCCCCUGGGAAAUCGGGAGAGCUAACACUAAUCCUGAUGUGAUAUAUACAGGAGUCUACUAUGGAAUAAAGUCUCUCACAUGAACUUCAACCUAUGCAGAGGGAUGGACAGCUAAGUAAUGGAUCCUGAGGUGCAAAAUCCCAGAAUCACACUCAUUUACAGGCCUAACAUGCCACCAGAGGGGUCAAUCAGGCUCUAAAACGUGACUUUGCACCUGUUUUUAAAGGGCUAGCGGCCUCCUUUGUACUCAGUUACUGCUGACUGGAGGACCCAUCCUUUGCCCAAGAGGCAACUUCUGCAUCUAUCUUGGCAGCAGUUCAAUGAGGGGAUGAGGUUUGGCUGAAGGUGGGUGGAAUCAGCCUGAAAAUGUUCCUUUGCCAAUAUCGUCCAGUCUGGAAAAAGGUGGGCGGAGAUGGAAGGCUUUCGGGCUGAGCUCCCCGCCGACCUUAACUGGAAGUGCUCACACUCUUUCACAUCGGCAGCUGUGUCCUCCUCAGGGAGUUGUCCAACUAAAUGUGAUUUUAAACAUCUGUCAGCUAAAUCAGAGCUCCAAAUUUAGCACUCGGGAACAUUAUGUGGAUUUGUGAUGCUCGCUGGAGAACACUGGAUCUAUAAACCAAGCCCACACGAGACAGCCGGGUGGUACUCCGGCUGAUAAUUUCAUCUAUGACACAUUUAAUUUGCCUGCACAUUUAUGAACGUUAUGUAAAGGGAAAGAGUGACCAGUUCCCUGCAAACAGCUUUCUGAAUUGCUGCAAGCUUGGUAGUGAGAUGGGAGAGCCUUUACACUGGAACACUGAUUGUCUUCCUACCUGAUAAUUUGUGUGGAAAGAAAGAAAAGAGAGAAGAGAGGGGGCAGAGAGAGAGAGAGAGGAAGAAAGAAAGAAAAGAAACAGAGAUAGAAAGAGAAAGAUAGAAAGAGAAAGAAAAGAGAAAGAAAGAAAGAAAGAAAGAAAGAAAGAAAGAAAGAAAGAAAGAAAGAAAGAAAGAAAGAAAGAAAGAAAGAAAGAAAGAAAGAAAGAAAGAAAGAAGAGAAAGAAAGAAAGAAGAGAAAGAAAGAAGAGAAAAGAAAGAGAGAGAGAGAGAAGAAAGAUUGAUUGAUUGAUUCCAAUGGGCUCCUUUUGAGUGAAUUUCCUGAAACUAUUUUCUGCCCUUUCUGGUCCAGCUAUAACUUUGCUCCAGUGCACCCAUCCUGGAGGAAGGGAAGUUCUGCAUGCAGUCAUGACUCUCAGUUACCACCUUUGAAGAAGUCAAGCGCAGGAGAACCAUCCUUCCUCUCCUUUGGAUGGAUGAGUCUGAAGAGAUGUGCUGCUCUUCGGGAGAACUGUGAAGCCAGGUCUUAAAUUCAAAGGCCCUCUCUUUGCUGAGGCAACGCUCCUGGAUGAUUGGCUAGAAAUCCUCAGUGCAUAUGGGGGUUUGAAACUCAUCCUAUCAGUUACUGAGAUCAUGGUGUCCUUGACGGGAGAUAAGGUGAGAAAUAACCUUGUGAUUCAGUGUGAGUUCCCAAUAGAUGACUUAGCACAGUAGACUAAAACGUGUGAAUUUGCUUUGCUAAGGUUAGUGCCAAAGCUCACAGCAUCCAAAGUCCAUUUCUCCAUCAAGCCUCAGAGUUACUUACCCCCUUCACUGAAGUCCCAAGACAGCCUGUCAGUGCCUCUCAUCUGGUAUUAAUGUGUGAUGUUGUUAGCGAGUGUCUUAAAAUGCCUCUGUGAUCUCUAAGGAGGCAGAGAUGGCAUUUAAUUUGGCCUGUAUUCCUAAGAUUAGGAUAGGCCCAUAGACUAGACAAUGGACAUUUUAUAGGUAGUGAAUAAAUGCAUGAGGGACUGGCCCUAGUUUGAACGGCUUAAGAGUAUACCAUCGAGAGGCAAGGAAGGGUGGUUUGGGCGCGGGGUUGAUGGCAAAAGAAGAACCCCUGCAAAGGUCCCCUGGAUAAUCCACACGUGGAUAGUGCCUGUGUGCAGGGAACUGACUCAACACAAGUUUCCCUUGGUGUUGGAGACAGGGUAGUCCUGUCAGAGGUACCAAAGGCCAGUGAGGACAGCCAGGAGAAUGGGCACAGAGGAGCGCUGCCUUCUACAUGGAGUUGUGUUAGGGCGCUGAGCAGGGAGGGUCUCCUGCCUCAAAAUGUCUUCCUUCUGCAAUUAGAGUAUUUGAAAUGUAUUCCUGGAAGGCAUGUUGAUUCUUCCCUCUUUUCUUCCCACCUCCCGGAUGACACGCUUACCUUGAGAGGCCACAUAUAGUAAUAGUUAAAACCAAAGACUGUUGCACCAGCCAGAUCAGGGUUCAAAUCCCAGUCCAUAAUUCACCAAGGUGUAUUAUCAUAGGGAUAUGACUAAACUUCUCUGAGCUGACUCAUUAGGUAGUUUAAAUGAGCCGGUGUGAGUAAAGUAGCUAGCACAUAGCAAAUGUUCAGUGUAGUCGGUAAUGGCAUCACUUCUAUAAUUAGUUUGGACUCUCAUUAGCAAAUGAGUAAGAAUGGACCUGGACCUCAGGGAGGUGCCUCUGUCUUGGUCUGUGCAUCUGCUCUGUUCUCCUCUCAGCUUCUUCUCUUCUCGGGUCCACAUCAUUCACAGAGAAAACCCACCUCUCAACGCCUAAACUGACACAUUGCAGAUUCAGCUCCCUAAAAAGAGACCAACACAAAUCUUUU